GACGAACGCUGGCGGCGUGCUUAACACAUGCAAGUCGAACGGAAAGGCCCUGCUUUUGUGGGGUGCUCGAGUGGCGAACGGGUGAGUAACACGUGAGUAACCUGCCCUUGACUUUGGGAUAACUUCAGGAAACUGGGGCUAAUACCGGAUAGGAGCUCCUGCUGCAUGGUGGGGGUUGGAAAGUUUCGGCGGUUGGGGAUGGACUUGCGGCUUAUCAGCUUGUUGGUGGGGUAGUGGCUUACCAAGGCUUUGACGGGUAGCCGGCCUGAGAGGGUGACCGGCCACAUUGGGACUGAGAUACGGCGCAGACUCCUACGGGAGGCAGCGGUGGGGAGUAUUGCACAAUGGGCGGAAGCCUGAGGCAGCAACGCCGCGGGCGGGAAGACGUCCUGCGGGUUGUAAACCGCUUGCGCCUGUGACGAAGCGUGAGUGACGGUAAUGGGUAAAGAAGCACCGGCUAACUACGUG
rnacentral:rRNA from 1 species